GACGAACGCUGGCGGCGUGCUUAACACAUGCAAGUCGAACGGAAGGGCGCUGCUCUUGUGGGGUGCUCGAGUGGCGAACGGGGGAGUAAAACGUGUGUAACCUGCCCCUGACAUAGGGAUAACUUCAGGAAACUGGGGCGAAUACCGGAUAGGAGCUCCUGCUGCAUGGGGGUGGAUGGAAAGUGUCGGCGGUGGGGGCUGGACUCGCUGCUUACCCGCUAGUUGGGCGGGUAGUGGCUGACCAGGGCUUUGAAGGGUAGCCGGCCUGAGAGGGUGGCCGGCCUCCUUGGGACUGCGAUACGCCCCAGUCUCCUACGGGACGCAGCAGUCGGGAAUAUGGCGCAACGGGCGCACGCCUGAUGCAGCAACCCCGCGUGCGUGAUAAUGGCCUUCGGGUGGUAAACCGCUUUCGCCUGUGCCGAAGCGUGAGUGACGGUAAUUGGUAAAGAAGCACCGGCUAACUACGUG
rnacentral:rRNA from 1 species